AUCCGGAUAUAUUUUGAAGUCGUGUUCUAUUAUUAGGAAAUCUUAUACACACAUAUUGAUGACGUUUCACACAUUCGGCUUUCCCCGGCGACCUCGAGUACAUUGCGGGAUGAUUUUGUGAGAAAAACACCUUAAGACUGAUUAUCAUUGACAUACUGUAAACAUGUCUGACAGAGCCAUUGACCCAAAUCUACACACAGGACUCUGUAAUAUUUACAUCAAACAUUAUGAAAAAUGCAUCACGGAGAAUUCCUUCAUGAAACGACUUAUUCAUGGGCCCUGUGAUUUUUUAAAGGCAAAGAUGUUGAGGUGCUUUGAUGAGGAGAGAAUGGAAAAAAGUCGUGAUAAUAGGAAAUUUCAAAAGAAACUCAGGAAAGAAAAGGAAGAGGAGCAAAAAGAACGACUUCGGAAAGCAGAAGAGUUAAAGAAAGCAGAGGAAUUAUCCUCAUAAAGCUUGUUAAAAGUUCUAGAUUUGACAACUGGUUGGACACCAUCAGCUAAUAGUGACACCUGGUGGGAUAACAAUGUUAACUAGUGGUGACAUCUGGUGGAAUUAUUAAUUCAUUUGGUAGCGACACCUGAUGGGCUACAAAUUCAUUUAUUUGCGAUAGCUGGUGGAAUACUUUAUCUAAUAAUGGCAACACCUGGUGGUGCUACAAUAACAAUUAGUGGUGACACCUGGUGGGAUUACAAAUUCCAUUUACAAGCAAAACCGGGCGGCACUAUAAAUUCAUUUAUUAGCAACACCCGGUGGGACUUUAUAUACACUAUCAUCUAGUGGUGACACCUGGUGGAGCUAUGAUAUCAACUAGUGGUGACACCUGGUGGAGCUAUGAUAUCAACUAGUGGUGACACCUGGUGGAGCUAUGAUAUCAACUAGUGGUGACACCUGGUGGGGCUAUGAUAUCAACUGGUGGUGACAUCUGGUGGAGCUAUGAUAUCAACUGGUGGUGACAUCUGGUGGAGCUAUGAUAUCAACUAGUGGUGACACCUGGUGGUGACACCUGAUGGACUUACAUAUCAACUAGUUGUAGUACUUGUUGGGGCUUCAAUAUCAACUGGUUUUGACACCUCAGUAACCUGGUGCGACUUGAAUUGGAUGUGGAAUCGCUUUACUUUUGUUAUAUUUGUGUUUCUCAGUGUAAUGUUACGUGUGAAUAAGAGAGUCUAAUUGUAGUGUUUGAAGAUUGUCUGGAGAAAGAUAUAAUAUAGAUCAUGUAUGAACAAUGAAGAAAUAUCAAAUAUUUUCAAUAAAUAAAAAUGCUUUAUAAUUGA